rfam:Novosphingobium sp. P6W scaffoldA29, whole genome shotgun sequence.
AGGUGAUGCCUUUCAGGCAUCCUCUCCCAAAACUUCCAAAGCCGGCCCAUGUGGCCGGCUUUUUUUGUCGUCCGCC